rnacentral:lncRNA from 1 species
AAGAGAGCAAUCACUACACUUAUGGCUGGGAUUUUGCGCUUAGUAGUUCAAUGGCCCCCAGGCAGACUACAGACUGUGACAAAAGGUGUGGAGUCUCUUAUUUGUACAGAUUGGAUUCGUCACAAAUUCACCAGAUCAAGAAUUCCAGAAAAAGUGUUUCAGGCCUCACCUGAAGAUCAUGAAAAAUACGGUGGGGAUCCACAGAACCCUCAUAAACUGCAUAUUGUUACCAGAAUAAAAAGUACAAGAAGACGUCCAUAUUGGGAAAAAGAUAUAAUAAAGAUGCUUGGAUUAGAAAAAGCACAUACCCCUCAAGUUCACAAGAAUAUCCCUUCAGUGAAUGCAAAAUUGAAAGUAGUUAAGCAUUUGAUAAGGUUUGUUGUUUCUUCUCAGCUCUUUUUAAAAUGUAUUGCCUAGUGUAAUUCUAAAUGCAUUUUUCUUUUUUCGUUAAUGUUCUGAAAAAAACUUUUUAAAAAACUAAAA